rnacentral:rRNA from 1 species
CUACCCUGACUGCACCAGAUCUCUUCUGAUUUCCAAAGCUAAGCAGGAUCAG